CCUGUAAGAUAGAAGCUUUGUGGGGAAGCUGCUGGUUGUCUUGGCUCCAUCCAGGUUUCCUGUAAAGAUAUUGCAGGUUUUUCCUGGCCUCCCUGAUGUUCCAGCUGUAGUAUGAGUGAUGGUAAUGCUUAAAUAUAUGUCUUACGAUAAACUUGUAGUUUAAAAAAAAAAAAAAAAAAAUUCUAUUUGCAUAUAACAUGAUUUUAAUCAAUUAAUUAUUUAAAGUGUGUCGAAAGAGAAAUAUAGACGACAUGUCUUCGAAAAGCACAAAGAUCAUCUGUCUUCUAUACGAUUACAGUUGUGGUGGGAGUUGGGUUUUUUCGUCUAUGGGGAAUACACAUGCUGUGUAUUUGUGGGGAUGGAGUGCUCCCAAAGGUCACCCUCAACACCAUAGACUCACACAAAUCAAUGUAUUAUACAGUGUAUUGUAAAGUAAACAAUGACCAUCACGGGGAUCUACUACCCCUUGGACAUUAAAGUAAACAAUGACCAUCACGGGGAUCUACUACCCCUUGGACAUUAAAGUAAACAAUGACCAUCACGGCAGGGGCGGCGGAACGGAUUUCAGUUUGGGGGGGCUAAAUUUUUUUCCGUGACCCCCCCCCCCCCGCC